UACGGAGGGAGCUAGCGUUAUUCGGAAUUACUGGGCGUAAAGCGCACGUAGGCGGCUUUGUAAGUAAGAGGUGAAAGCCUGGAGCUCAACUCCAGAACUGCCUUUUAGACUGCAUCGCUUGAAUCCAGGAGAGGUGAGUGGAAUUCCGAGUGUAGAGGUGAAAUUCGUAGAUAUUCGGAAGAACACCAGUGGCGAAGGCGACUUACUGGACACAUAUUGACGCUGAGGUGCGAAAGCGUGGGAGCAACAGGAU
rnacentral:rRNA from 1 species